rnacentral:rRNA from 1 species
UACGGGGGGGGCAAGCGUUGUUCGGAAUUACUGGGCGUAAAGGGCUCGUAGGUGGCCAACUAAGUCAGACGUGAAAUCCCUCAGCUUAACUGGGGAACUGCGUCUGAGACUGGAUGGCUUGAGUGCAGGAGAGGAACGCGGAAUUCCAGGUGUAGCGGUGAAAUGCGUAGAUAUCUGGAGGAACACCGGUGGCGAAGGCGGCGUUCUGGACUGCUACUGACACUGAGGAACGAAAGCCAGGGGAGCAAACGGG